GGGAAUUUCUUGCUCUUGUAGGGGAAGCUCUGGUCAUCGACAAUGUGCCAGUGCAACACAUUCAUCUUGUUGGUGGCCAUGCCGUCCAACAACUUGUGCAUCGUGUCCAUCGACAGGUAGUGACGUGACGUGUCCACCAUUAUACCG